UUUUGUCCAGAGGGAUUUGAAUUGAUUUGUUUUAUCAUCACAGUGAGAUUGAUAGAAUUGGAGGGAGAUAAGACAGCGAUAAUGGACUGUGAGAACGUAACUAUUGACAUACAUUCCUUGUCUCUUGUUAGUUACUGGAUUUUGUAAUCCUCUCUUCACAGCUGUGCUUUCAGACAGUGGCUACGCUGUAAGGAAUUCUGACAACACUGUACGUAACACGUGUGUAACAAGCCUGCUCUGCGCGAGUUUCGUAAUCAGUAGGUAGUCGUUUCACUGUGGUGGUAGGAGCUGUGUGAACCAGAGGGAAAACUUAAGAACGGUUGGUAAUUCAAACAAACUCUCGUCCUGGACGGCCACCGACCGUAACUGAUAAGGGACACAUCUAAGAAGACGGAAAACAAGCACUGAUAAAAUUGUAUCUUAAUCGUCUUUCCAGAGAACGCAUUUCUACUGCAAGUUUCGACAGAUUACUGAAAUUAUUCUGCCUUUCAACGCACACACCAACAGAAGUACCAGCGACUACCACAAAGUCUCACGAUACAGGCGCCUUGAAACCUAUCACUGAAAAUAACCGGAGGUUUUGUAUGAUCUGAAGCUUUCACGGCGACUAAUGAAGAAGACACCAACGUUUCGACCCUGAGGACGACGACGAAGAUUGUUCUCGAAACGUCGGUUGAUAGCCCGAGAAGAAAUCACCAAACCGCCUGUUUUAUUCCUUUGCAAAUUUAUUUAAGCUGUAAGUUUUACUCAGUCUGAUAGGACAAUCUGAUCGUCCGCAUAUAUUAAUGAAUUUAGGGGUAUGUCACCAUAUAAAGUGGUUUGUUUUCAGUUGCAAUUGACAUUAACUUGAAACAAAACAAGGUUUGUGAUACAGGACAUCCUUAUCUAACUCCUUGUGAUAUUUCUGUGCAGUCCUCACUGUUUCUGAAUUUUAUUUUGAUUGUAAUCACUGUGUGGAUAUACAUAUUCUUAAUAGUUCCUAUUAAAUGUCUUGGUUUACAAGAUUUCUUAAAGUUUUACUUUGUUUACUGUGUCAAACGAUUUCUCUAAUUCGAUAAAACCUAUAUAUGCUGGUAUAUUACCCUGCCUGUGUUUAUAAAUGAUUUGGGAUACACACGAUCCACAACCGAUCGAUGUUUUCUGAACCCAUUCUGUUCUUUGAGGAGUCAGAUAUCAUCAUCAAACGUUGUGUGAUCAUUUUAACACAUAUUUUGUGUCCCGUAUUUAAGAAAAUUAUUCCCCUGUAAUUUUUUUCAACUCUACUUGUCACAUUUUUUAUAUAUAUGGGGACUUUAACUGCUAUUCUCCACUCUUCUGGUAUAUUGUCAUAUAUCCAAUAUAUAUUUAUAAAAUCAAAGAAUUUUACAAGAAAACUGUUUAGUACAUACUUAAAAAGUUCAUUAUUAAAGCCAUCUGACCCCAGUGA